UGGGCGCAGCCUGAUGGAGCACCACCGCGUGAGUGAAGAAGGGUUUCCGGCUUCCGUAAAGCUCCUGUUGUUGGAGAAGAACGUGCGUGAGAGUAACUGUUCACGCAGUGACGGUAUCCAACCAGAAAGUCACGGCUAACUACGUGCCAGCAGCCGCGGUAAUACGUAGGUGGCAAGCGUUAUCCGGAUUUAUUGGGCGUAAAGCGAGCGCAGGCGGUUGCUUAGGUCUGAUGUGAAAGCCUUCGGCUUAACCGAAGAAGUGCAUCGGAAACCGGGCGACUUGAGUGCAGAAGAGGACAGUGGAACUCCAUGUGUAGCGGUGGAAUGCGUAGAUAUAUGGAAGAACACCAGUGGCGAAGGCGGCUGUCUGGUCUGCAACUGACGCUGAGGCUCGAAAGCAUGGGUAGCGAACAGGAUUAGAUACCCUGGUAGUCCAUGCCGUAAACGAUGAGUGCUAGGUGUUGGAGGGUUUCCGCCCUUCAGUGCCGGAGCUAACGCAUUAAGCACUCCGCCUGGGGGAGUACGACCGCAAGGUUGAAACUCA
rnacentral:rRNA from 2 species